rnacentral:lncRNA from 1 species
UGUGAAUGUGAGCAUGGAAGCAAAGCCUCUUAGAAGUGUUCCCUCUUCACACAACAACAUCUAUGGGGAAGGAAGUGGACCCUAUAAGAAGAAGAAAAGUGUUGUUUUUGUUGCUAUUCACACUGAAACAAAACCAGAAGCAAUAAUAAGUAACAACACUCCGAUCCAAACACCAAGUUAUUACCACAAGUUCUGUCUUUGUACUGAGCCUCAAAGGGAGAGAAGACUGCGACGUACAUUUACCUUCCUCAUACCCGAUACUAAGUCGAUGUCUCGUGCACUAGGUCACCCUUUAUAUAAAUAUCAUGAUUUGGGUUUCUAAUCUUGCCAUGUAUUUAUAAUGUGAUAUCUAUAUUAGGAGGUAAAGUCUUUAAAGUUGAAUGUGAAAAAUAUUUAUACUAAUUGCAAGGUAAUGGGUCCAUACAUGGUCUUUUGAAUGAGAUUUGGGUGUGGGGUUUAUCAAAUAACUAGCUUUUGUGGUCAAUGGUAAGGUUAUUGUACUGUGACCCGGAAUCGAAAGUCAUGGGUUCAAAUCGUGGAAAAAGUCUGUCUGUUUAUGUGAGUUAUAUCGUGCAUAUUUACCCUCCUUAGACUCCAUUAGGUAGGGAGUAUGAGUCUCCUACACUAUGCCCUUUGGAUUGAGUUUUUGUUUAGUAGAGUAAUUUUCUUGUAGAUUUCAAUUUCAAUUAAUGUAAGAAACCAAUUUUGUGAUUUUGAUAUGUUAAAAAGAUAGGCUAAAUUUCAAGGCUUUUUGAUUCUAUAACUAUAUGUGACUUUUAUAAGGGAAGAUAAUGUUUUUAU